UACGAGGGGUGCAAGCGUUGCUCGGAAUUAUUGGGCGUAAAGGGUAGGUAGGUGGUCUCAUUUGUCUGGGGUGAAAGCCUUGAGCUUAACUCAAGAAGUGCCCCAGAAACGGUGAGACUGGAGUCCUGGAGAGGGUCGUGGAAUUCCCGGUGUAGCGGUGAAAUGCGUAGAGAUCGGGAGGAACACCAGAGGCGAAGGCGGCGACCUGGACAGGUACUGACACUCAGCUACGAAAGCGUGGGGAGCAAACAGG
rnacentral:rRNA from 1 species